GGAGUGGGGUGCCAUUGCCUUCUCCGACAGUAAUGGAUAAAUGAUGCAAAUUUGACUGAAGCAUCUUUCAUAAUCAAAGGACCAAAGAAAUUUGGGCUGUAGGUGGUGAACAUGUGGACAAGAGGAUCAUAGAUAUCUUCUGCAGUGGUUCCAUCCACAGCACUCAAAUGUUGUCAUUAUUUCCCCCUUUUGGACAUUAUUGCAUCUUCGUAUCCCAAGGGCACAACUUUUGUAUAUGUAUACUCAGGAAUAGAAUUGGCGUGCUUUUGAGAAGUAAUUGACUGAAAUGUUUGUACUUCUCUGUGCCCUGAAUAUAUCUUGUGUGUUUCUUUAUUGUUGUAUUUACCAUUGCAUUUUUUUAUCCAUGUUUUACUUUACAAAUGUGAGAUUUGUGUCUGAUAAAUGUAAUUAAUGCAACCCUAUGGACACCUUAGUCUUGUCCCAGGUAAUAGCCAGGUUUUCUCACGAGCUCAGUGCCGCCCAUGUGCCAGUUUUGGUAUAAUUUGUAAGAUACUUUGUUUCUUAUUUGAAUCAGGAGCUCAUCAUUUUUAGAGGGGUCCCAAACAAGAUGUUGUUAAAAUAUUUGUAUUAUCUGCAACAGACUUCUCCAGUUUUCCUCUUUAUUGUGUGAACUACAUCUCAUGUAGAACAGGAUCUGAUUCUUGAUUAUAGUUGUCAUCUUUCCCAUACAUGAGUUUAAGAUCUUGAUCCCAUCACAACUCUGGUUGUGUAAGGAGAGCCAGAUCCUUCUGUUGAUAUUUUAUGCCAUGAUAAUGCAAGCUUGUAAAAAAAUAGUUCCAUAAUUUUCUUGGCUAUACUGACAUUUUCUUCUUUGGGACUGGAGUAGAAAAAAACACAUGAGGUUUUCCUUUAAGUUCACAUUAGUCUGAUGUUCACCUAAGUGGGCUUAAUAUACAUGGUGUGUUUACUGAAAGUUUUGUCUACUUCUGGAACAUCAGAUGCACUGUCUUAUCAGGGAACUACUAACUGCAUUGACAAACCUCUCUCACUAUACAAGCCUGAUACCUAGUACAUUGAAACUGGGAAACCAAGAAUGAAGGGUUAGUAAACAACUUAGACUGUAGUCAUUUAUCCUUCAUCCUACAUUCCUACUUUCUAGGAGUGACAAGAGUUGACUAUUUGUGGUAUAGAGGUCAGUAGUUUGUCUAAAUUUAUUUAAGUUUAUGUUGAGUUUAUUUUACAAGUAUGCCAUCAUUAUGAUAUUUGUUGUUUUACAACUUUACUUUUUCUUUAAUAUUUUCCAGAAAUUUUCCAAACCAAUAAAUGGAGCUUAUCUACAGAGUUUCCACUGGCUAUAUAAGUACAUAUUAUAAUUAAUUUUCCAUUUCUUUAUUUGGAAAUGCAGGUUAAAUUUGUUUUUAUUGUUACAUAUAAUUCUGUCAUGUAUAUAAUUUUAUAUAUAAAAAUUGGUCUAACUCUGUGAUAGAUUUUUAGAUGUGGAAUUGUUGGACCAUCAAUUCUGCAUAUUUUAGUUUUAGUAGAUACUGUAAAUUUGCUCCUGAAAUGUUUUCUAGGACAGCAAACAUAAAUGGAGAAAUGGUAGUCCUAAUUUUCAUAAAAAUUAUACAUGGUGGAUAUUAUCAGUCCUUUAACAUUUUAUCCAAUCUAAUAGGUGAAAAUAGUAUUUUUAACUUAAAUGUAAAUAGUAAGUAGCCGUGAAUAAAAAAAUAUAGUGACAACUCUAUUCACAAGAGUUGUCAGAGGUAGAAACCAU